rnacentral:rRNA from 1 species
AGCUCAAAUUUGAAAGCUGGUACCUUCGGUGCCCGCGUUGUAAUCUCGAGACGCGUUUUCCGCGCGGCGCUAUGGACAAGUUCCUUGGAACAGGACAUCGUAGAGGGUGAAAAUCCCGUACUUGCCAUGGAUGCACCGUGCUUUGUGAUACGUGCUCAAAGAGUCGAGUUGUUUGGGAUUGCAGCUCAAAAUGGGUGGUAGACUCCAUCUAAAGCUAAAUAUCGGGGAGAGACCGAUAGCGAACAAGUACCGUGAGGGAAAGAUGAAAAGCACUUUGGAAAGAGAGUUAAAAGUACGUGAAAUUGUCGAAAGGGAAGCGCUUGAAGUCAGCCAUGCCGCUCAGGACUCAGCCUGGCUUUUGCUUGGUGUACUUCCUGGGUAGCAAGUCAGCAUUGGUUUGGACCGUCGGAGAAGCAUGGCAGGAAUGUGACGCCCUCGGGCGUGUUAUAGCCUGCCAUUGGAUACGCCGGUCUAGACCAAGGAACGCAGUGCGCCUUAUGGCGGGUCUUCGGACACCUUCGCACUUAGGAUGCUGGCGUAAUGGCUUUAAGCGGCCCGUCUUG